rnacentral:rRNA from 1 species
UACGUAGGGUGCGAGCGUUAAUCGGAAUUACUGGGCGUAAAGCGUGCGCAGGCGGUGAUGUAAGACAGUUGUGAAAUCCCCGGGCUCAACCUGGGAAUUGCAUCUGUGACUGCAUCGCUAGAGUACGGUAGAGGGGGAUGGAAUUCCGGCGUGGUAAGCAUGUGAAAUGCGUAGAUAAUGCGGAGGAACACCGAUGGCGAAGGCAAUCCCCUGGACCUGUAC